CUACCAGGGUAUCUAAUCCUGUUUGAUACCCACACUUUCGAGCCUCAGCGUCAGUUACACCCCGGACACCUGCCUUCGCGAUCGGAGUUCAUCGUGAUAUCUAAGCAUUUCACCGCUACACCACGAGUUCCAGCAUCCCUGUGUGCACUCAAGACCACCAGUUUCAACGGCAUCGUAUGGUUGAGCCACACUCUUUAACCGCUGACUUAACAGUCCGCCUACGCUCCCUUUAAACCCAAUAAAUCCGGAUAACGCCUGGACCUUCCGUAUUACCGCGGCUGCUGGCAC
rnacentral:rRNA from 1 species